rnacentral:lncRNA from 1 species
GGUGGGACCUGUUGUGCUUGGUGCUGCACAGAGCAAGGAAAAUUGAAAAUUGCCUUUGCAAAGACCUUGAAGUUGUAAUGAAUAAGGAGUAUGCAAAUGUGCCUGUAGCUUCUGGAGCAAGGAGCUUCACUGUGAAGGAAUGAAGGGGAAGGAGGACAUUUGCCACUGUUACUCCUCUCGCUGAUGUGCUCCUGGAGGGACUGCAUACCCAGACUGGUGUGGAGGCGGAAGUGUGUUAAGUUGCAGGGGAGCACGAGGGGAAGAAGCAGCUGGACCACAGAUUCCAGUCUGGAAGGGUUGGGAGGAGGGAGAAGACUGUAUGCAUGGCUCAGACUCUCUGUGUUGGCUUUUGGUUGUCCAUGUUCUGAACCCAGCCAGUGGACCGCCUCUGCCACAGGAAUGAGUUUGUGUGAUCAAGCCCUUGCUCCACUGUCUGAGGGGCAGACAGCUUCAAAACUUGCUUGCAAACCCCUUGGUGACUGCAGUAACUGCAAUCAGUUCUCAAUCUUAAGCCCUGAGGACCUGACCAAGACAAACUAAGACAGAACUAUAAGCACAACUACACAGUUAAAGGUUCUGCCUCCUAUCUUUGUCACUGGCCAGUAACAAAUACUUAGAGAAAGUAUUCAAGUAGAAAAACCGUAUUCAAGGAGUUUCUGCUUCUGGUCAUUUGUGUUCAAUUGUUUCUCUCUGAAUCUUUCUCAUUCCUGUAUGAACUUGAUUACAAUACACCAUAUUCUGUGGCAAUGAGUUGUAUAAUUUAAUUAUAGCAUUGUCUGUGUUUCUUUGGGGUGGACAACUUUUUGUUUAUUCUGAAGUGAUCACCUGGUAACUUUGUUAGGUGAUUCUAAAUUUUGUGUUGUAAAAAACAGUGGGUAGCCUUUAUUUUUUUUCAUCUUCACGCCAACUGUGAUGGUAUAGGUGUGUAUUCUACUUUCUGCCCAGUGGUUUCUUUCAUAAGUUGAAGA